GAACACGCAAACCACGCAAGUUGGAUGAAAUCGCUGCACAGGCGGUUGUGGAGCUGGUGCAGGCCGAUGACCAAGCUUUUGCUCACCGACCUGGCCUUGGCUAUGACAAACUUACUGGGCACUCAUUGCGCUGACAGACGAAGCCAUAUCGGCCGCAAGCCAUUUCAGCAUGUUUUCGCUUGCGAUCAGCCAUAGCCGACAGACACGGAAGUCACAAAUGCGCACUGUUUACGCCCUAAAGGCGCGAAUCACGUAUGUAUUCGCGUAUAAAGAUGGGCGAUUUCCUUGCGACUUUGCAAGCCGUACGCAUCGCCUCGCACCCGUACUUUGUUUUGCAACCACCAUAAAACCAAGUUUUUUUCUAGGUCGCAUACCAAGCAUACCAGUAAUAUUGUAUGUGAUACCUACUUCGCCUAGAUCAGGAACCUAAUUCCUUACCUGCCUACACUGCACCUCUGGAAACCGUAGUGCCAACAAAAAUUGGUGACAGAAAUUGUGGUGACGGCCUUAAAAAGUCCUGGAAUUUUGCAAUGAUUCUUGCAAUGGGUGCUGGCCCGGAGAUCGUUUUGCAAAUGUGUGACGAAUAUUGGUGACGGCCGCAUCUGCCGCAUGACAAGCCGUCGUACCGUUCACGUUUUGGCCUUGCUUGAUCACCAAAAAAAGCUAGGCCAGUGAAGGCUUUUCCGGGGCAACAUGAUCAAUGAGGAGCUGGCGAAGCAAAUAUUUCGGUUCCGUUAAUACUUCCAACACACUCCACCAUACCCCGUGCCGUAAACACAGAUUGAAUAGAGGUGAAGGUAGUUGCCGUAGGAAACUCCACCAAUGUUCGCACCACAGCGUCGCAGAACUAGUGAAGCACCUUGCAGCACGCAGUCCCUGCAGACACUCCGAACAUAUGUUCGAUGGUGGGGAAACCCACUUGGUUCGUGAAUUUGUAUAGUGCAAUGGCAGCUUUGUGCUCGGUGUAAGGGGCUCCCUGAAGUUGGAUGCCCCACCAGCGAGGCGGCUCCCCAGGUGCCCAACAAGGAGCUUACAAGACGAGCGUGUCAGCCGAAAGUUAUCCUCAAACUUGUUGUCAGGACAUGACUUGUUGUCAUGUCAGUUGACGCGGUGGAUGAUAUUGUUUGGUACAGUAUUGCACAAGCGAUCCUGCGCAAUUGGUGUUUGCAAGUUAGGUUGAUGGUGUGUGCGUUGAUAUAAGUUGUUGGGGUGUUACACUGUG
rnacentral:lncRNA from 1 species